AUUGAACGCUGGCGGCAGGCCUAACACAUGCAAGUCGAACGGUAACAGGAAGCAGCUUGCUGCUUUGCUGACGAGUGGCGGACGGGUGAGUAAUGUCUGGGAAACUGCCUGAUGGGGGGGGAUAACUACUGGAAACGGUAGCUAAUACCGCAUAACGUCGCAAGACCAAAGAGGGGGACCUUCGGGCCUCUUGCCAUCGGAUGUGCCCAGAUGGGAUUAGCUAGUAGGUGGGGUAACGGCUCACCUAGGCGACGAUCCCUAGCUGGUCUGAGAGGAUGACCAGCCACACUGGAACUGAGACACGGUCCAGACUCCUACGGGAGGCAGCAGUGGGGAAUAUUGCACAAUGGGCGCAAGCCUGAUGCAGCCAUGCCGCGUGUAUGAAGAAGGCCUUCGGGUUGUAAAGUACUUUCAGCGGGGAGGAAGGGAGUAAAGUUAAUACCUUGGCUCAUUGACGUUACCCGCAGAAGAAGCACCGGCUAACUCCGUG
rnacentral:rRNA from 1 species